rnacentral:rRNA from 1 species
CCUACGGGUGGCAGCAGUGGGGAAUAUUGGGCAAUGGGCGCAAGCCUGACCCAGCAACGCCGCGUGAAGGAAGAAGGCUUUCUGGUUGUAAACUUCUUUUUGCAGGGAAGAACAGAACACUAUACCUGUCGGAUCAGCCACGUCUAACUACGUGCCAGCAGCCGCGGUAAUACGUAGGUGGCAAGCGUUGUCCGGAUUUACUGGGUGUAAAGGGCGUGUAGCCGGGCUGACAAGUCAGAUGUGAAAUCCCGGGGCUCAACCCCCGAACUGCAUUUGAAACUGUUGGUCUUGAGUGUAGGAGAGGCAGGCGGAAUUCCUAGUGUAGCGGUGAAAUGCGUAGAUAUUAGGAGGAACACCAGUGGCGAAGGCGGCCUGCUGGACGACAACUGACGGUGAGGCGCGAAAGCGUGGGGAGCAAACAGGAUUAGAUACCCGUGUAGUC